ensembl:lncRNA
GCAAACUCAGGGCAGCAGACACAGAGGGGACAGGCUGGCACGGACGUAACAGACUCACAGCAGCAAGGUUACCGCUCCUGGCGGGCUUUGUUCAUCUGCACAGGUUCGCUUUGUCCAGCUGGAGCAGCUGAUGUCUCCCACAGUGCUCUGGUAAUUGUGGCUCCUGAAUGCUGUGCUUUGGCCUUCAGUUACGUACAAAUACAUCGCUCCACUUGAGUUGUUCGCGGGAGAUGUUGUUAUGGUUCCUGGACGCCCAGCCACCGUCUCUGUCUCUUCUAGCUGUCCUCUGCAUGAAAGGUGUCAGUUCCCUGCCAGGGUGUAGACAACCAUGACUGCGCCUGACCAUAUUCCUGGGGGUGCCGCUGAGCCUUGCCACUCUCGCCUCCUUGGAUGCAAGCGUCGUCUUCUCUCAGCAGCCCCUGGGAUCUCUCCCCCUUGAGGCUCUGUAGAGCUGUCCAUCCACACAGGCUCAGCCAACAGUCUCCACAGUCCCUGUGCAACCCUGAGGCUCAGGCCUAGGACCUGCAACCCCUGCCACUAUGCAAGGAACCCGUGUCCCGGGGAGCACCAGGGACCUUUCUUUGAAGAGUUUGUAUAUUUCACAUCAGUCUCAUCCCAGGGUCUCCACUCAACUGUACAUGGAGAGUUCCUGACGAGCCUUGUGGCUCCAGGAUCACCAGAGGCAGUUAGGCAGGUCCUAGGAUGUCUGUGGGAAGAGGCUAGCUGAGCUGUGUCCCAGCAUUCAGGGCAGGAGCCUGACUUGCUGACCUGUAGCUGUCUGUCCCAUGGCUCAGGAAACAAGCCCCAUUACUUCUCGCAGAAAACGUCCUAUGCCUCCUGCAGUGUUGCUCUCAGACUGUUCGUUUGCUUAGAGAAUAAUGACAGCCGUGGGCUUGCAAGGUGUGAGCAGGGAUGGUAUGAUGUGACCAUCCCCGUCUGACUUUAUUUACAGAAAAUCAAAAUCACCCUGAGGACGAGGACACCCUGGAGCCAGAAUCGCCCAGGUAACUGAGCAUGGAGGACCAGUGAUGGUAACCAAGGUGUCAUGGAGAUUUCCUGUAUAGAUCCCAGGGAAAUCAGAUCUCCUGAGCACACUUACUUCACCCAGUCAGGCAGCCACCGAGUCUGUGUUUAAACCAUGCUGCUAACCUUGUUUCCUUUUCUUGUAUGGACUAUUGCUUUUACUAGUUUCUUGGUAAUCCAAAUAGAAUCCAGGAGAGCUAUCAUGACCGUGGGUUUCAGUAUUCAUGCACACGUGGCCACUUGUUCCCUCGAGGAUUAAACUCAGAGAGGGAUGCAGAACUGACCUCUGCAUACGAGGCCUUGGCUCAUUGUCAGGUUUAUCACAGGCAGGAAACUAUGGAGCUAAGGAAACAGGGCAGACAUGAGGUGUAGGUGUAGAUGUGCUCAGGAAUCCACACUAUGCCAGAUCAUUUAUGCGCUGGUCUCAAACAGGCGUGAGCUUUCCAUUGGAAGGGCCCCCUCAGAUGUGCUCAGAGGAGUCCCGGGCACAGUCCUGUGCCUGAACAGUCAGCCCAUUUACACUCUGCUGGUUUCCCUGCUUCUUGUCAUUCUUGACCAUGCCUGAAAGCUGAGUGCUAAUUGCAAAUUUUGCCAUCUCUUCUCUGCUGGGCAUUUCAGGGUUAUAAUUGAAGAUCUGGCCUUGGAUUUGAAGCCUAUAGAGCAGUUUCAGAGAUGGAGGGACAUAAUCUUCUACCUGCGACUGAGUCUGAAGGACAUGCUGACCCCAGAUGGACCUGUGAGCCACCAGGAACAACAUGCAGAGAGGCGCAGGCUGGCCAAGAGCCCUCGCCCUCCAGCUCAGCCCAGAGCAGCACUGCAAUGGGGAUGAUGAGGAAGAAACAGAGUCCCCAGACUCCAGUGGUGAGCAGCAGGAUGUGAAAGUGGAUGAACUCCUGUGAGAUUCAGUAGAAGAACACUCCCUCCUCGCUUCUGGGUGUCCUGACGCACCUUACCAACAGCAAGGUCACAUCCUCGCUGCCGUCCCUGCAGAGGAGCCUGAAGCGAGUUCUGUGCCCAAUGGCACCAGUGAGUCCCCAUCAUCCUGCUACAAGCACAGCUCCUGAGUCCAGGAUCCCCUAGUUCUGUGCUGAGCUCUGGUGUCUUGGCUGAGAGAGGCGUCCGCAGCCACCCAGGAGUCCCCUUAGGGUGCAGAGCAGGGUCAGAGGUCCGGGGGCUCUGGGGCCAUGUUCCUUGUGCCUGGCAGGUCUCUGUCAGCUGGGCCUCAGGUUGCAGACCAUGGGUGGAUCAGCACAUGGGACAGAGUGAGGGGAAGGGACAGGAGCCCCUCAGGGACCCUGCAGCCUGUGCACAGCCGGCUCAGACCUGUUUGGGCAGGGUCCUCUCAGGGCUCCCAUCAUAUUGCUGGGAGUGGCAUCUCCUGACCACUGCCCCUCUGCUCUGCACAUCCACACGGGCCAGCAGACUUCCCAGUCCUUUGGAGGUGUAUUAGUGAGGCUGGGAGCUCCCCCUCACAGAAGCUGCCCCUCCAUGGUGCCUUCCCCUGGGGCAGCACUCCAGUGUCCCUCCCUCCCUCCGCGGCCCCACUUUCAUCCUCUUCCAGCACCAGGGGUUUUCUCCCUGUCUGGCGUUAGAGUUCCAGUCACAUGUCUCAUCUCAGA